CCUACGGGUGGCAGCAGUGAGGAAUAUUGGUCAAUGGACGAGAGUCUGAACCAGCCAAGUAGCGUGAAGGAUGACUGCCCUAUGGGUUGUAAACUUCUUUUAUAUGGGAAUAAAAUGUUCCACGUGUGGGAUUUUGUAUGUACCAUCUGAAUAAGGAUCGGCUAACUCCGUGCCAGCAGCCGCGGUAAUACGGAGGAUCCGAGCGUUAUCCGGAUUUAUUGGGUUUACAGGGAGCGUAGGUGGAUUGUUAAGUCAGUUGUGAAAGUUUGCGGCUCAACCGUAAAAUUGCAGUUGAAACUGGCAGUCUUGAGUACAGUAGAGGUGAGCGGAAUUCGUGGUGUAGCGGUGAAAUGCUUAGAUAUCACGAAGAACUCCGAUUGCGAAGGCAGUUCACUGGACUGCAACCGACACUGAGGCUCGAAAGUGUGGGUAUCAAACAGGAUUAGAUACCCUUGUAGUC
rnacentral:rRNA from 1 species